rnacentral:rRNA from 1 species
UACGGAGGGAGCUAGCGUUGUUCGGAAUUACUGGGCGUAAAGCGCACGUAGGCGGCUUUGUAAGUUAGAGGUGAAAGCCCGGGGCUCAACCCCGGAAUUGCCUUUAAGACUGCAUCGCUUGAAUCCGGGAGAGGUGAGUGGAAUUCCGAGUGUAGAGGUGAAAUUCGUAGAUAUCAGGAGGAACACCUGUGGUGUAGACAGCUUACUGGACCACUUCUGACGCUGAGACACGAAAGCGUGGGUAGCAAACAGG